rnacentral:rRNA from 1 species
AUUGAACGCUGGCGGCAGGCCUAACACAUGCAAGUCGAGCGGAUGAAGGGAGCUGGCUCCUGGAUUCAGCGGCGGACGGGUGAGGAAUGCCUAGGAAUCUGCCUGGUAGUGGGGGAUAACGUCCGGGAACGGGCGCUAAUACCGCAUACGUCCUGAGGGAGAAAGUGGGGGAUCUUCGGACCUCACGCUAUCAGAUGAGCCUAGGUCGGAUUAGCUAGUUGGUGGGGUAAAGGCCUACCAAGGCGACGAUCCGUAACUGGUCUGAGAGGAUGAUCAGUCACACUGGAACUGAGACACGGUCCAGACUCCUACGGGAGGCAGCAGUGGGGAAUAUUGGACAAUGGGCGAAAGCCUGAUCCAGCCAUGCCGCGUGUGUGAAGAAGGUCUUCGGAUUGUAAAGCACUUUAAGUUGGGAGGAAGGGCAGUAAGUUAAUACCUUGCUGUUUUGACGUUACCAACAGAAUAAGCACCGGCUAACUUCGUG